rnacentral:rRNA from 1 species
ACGGGUGAGUAAUACAUCGGAACGUGCCCUGUAGUGGGGGAUAACUAGUCGAAAGAUUAGCUAAUACCGCAUACGACCUGAGGGUGAAAGUGGGGGACCGCAAGGCCUCAUGCUAUAGGAGCGGCCGAUGUCUGAUUAGCUAGUUGGUGGGGUAAAGGCCCACCAAGGCGACGAUCAGUAGCUGGUCUGAGAGGACGAUCAGCCACACUGGGACUGAGACACGGCCCAGACUCCUACGGGAGGCAGCAGUGGGGAAUUUUGGACAAUGGGGGCAACCCUGAUCCAGCAAUGCCGCGUGUGUGAAGAAGGCCUUCGGGUUGUAAAGCACUUUUGUCCGGAAAGAAAUCGCACUUACUAAUAUUAGGUGUGGAUGACGGUACCGGAAGAAUAAGGACCGGCUAACUACGUGCCAGCAGCCGCGGUAAUACGUAGGGUCCAAGCGUUAAUCGGAAUUACUGGGCGUAAAGCGUGCGCAGGCGGUUGUGCAAGACCGAUGUGAAAUCCCCGGGCUUAACCUGGGAAUUGCAUUGGUGACUGCACGGCUAGAGUGUGUCAGAAGGGGGUAGAAUUCCACGU